ACACAGAAGAUUGAUUUUUAUAGUCAUAACGGUGGAUAAAAGCACAUCCUUUGUAGACUUCUGGAUUCAUCCUUCUGCUCAGCAAAAUGCUUUAUUACAGCAUGUUAAAGGGAAACAAGAAGAUGAACAGACCGGGCCUGACUGUGCAGCAAUCACUCUUCUGAGGAGUCUGUGUGAGGAGAUGCUGGUCUGGGAGUCAAUGUGAGGAAAAGCAGAAGAUAUUUGCAAAGUAGCUUUAUAUCUGAAGUAUUAUUCAAGGGAGCUCACUCUAGAAGACAAGAGAACUGUUGGUACAUGAUGAAUAUAAAGCUCUAAGACUUGACGCUGAAGGAAAGUUCUCUCAAAAGUGUGCAUUUAGUCUUUGAUACCUUUGGUGAUACUUGCUGCUUCAUCUACCAUCUCUGUAAAUGUGGUGUCAGUUUCACUGUUACUGCAACUUGUGUCAAGUGAAAUGAAAACAGAAAUUUGGGAAAGGAUAUAAUUAACCUACCUGUGAACAUUAACCUUAAAUAUCGUGCUAAUUACCUCACUAAUUUAAUCACUGCAGAUCUCAAACUUGUUUGUUAAGUAUUUAAUUCUGCAAAUUGUUUCUGAUACAGAGGUGUGGAUAGCUUUAUAUGAAUAUAAGCUUCUAUAUAAAACUCCUUACAAAACCGUUGUAUAUUUGCACUUCAGCAAAAAAGUCCACUGUCAACAAGACUUUUAAUGGCAAUCACAGAAAACGUGCCCUGGGGCUAAGAGAUGUAGUGCCCUAUUACUUGUAAAUCUAAUGAGCAUGUUGUGUGCUGAGUAGGCCACAGUAAAUUUCUGUCUGCACGUCUUCAGGUUUGAUUUCAUGGUAGUCUAGACUGGAAAGUUUGUUUUUCCUUGUUUCUUCAGCUGUAGUGCAGUUGUGUGAUUUCUUAUCUAUUCACCUGAUUACUUGAGCCACUGACCAGAUUAUGUCCUUGAUCUUCAUCCCUUCUUAACAAGUGAAUAUUUUCUGCUGCUUCUAGGCCAUGGGGUCACCCCCAGCCGCUGCCACUACGGGGAAAGGACCAGGCCAUGGGAGCUGGGCAAACUGCCAGAUAAGAGGAUGGCCAAGGCAGAGUGGGCACCGGAGGUGGGGGGGCAGGCCCUUACAUCCCUGCUACCCCAAUCUUCCAUCCCAUGGAAAAACCAAGUCUCCCUUCCUUCAUCUUUCCCCAGGGGCAUCAGCCAGCCCUGUGUUUCAGGCUGUACCGGAUGGCAGUACUUCUUUGUUUUUGUAAUGUAUGUCUCCUUUACUGAGAAAGAAGGUGGAAGACUGGCUUUGUCAUCGUGUUGCUGCACUGUAAAUUUUACUAUUAGAGUAAGGUGCAAAGGUAUCCUAAAUCUAUGUGACGGCUCACACCAGACCUCUGUCAGGAGCUCUUUGAUUAGGUAGGUGUUCGCGUAAGUGCUUGUUUGGGACUACAUUAUUACCUUAUCAUAUAUUAUUCAGAAUUUCUUUCUGAUUGCCUAUAUUUAUUUAUUACACACUUGUACUCGUAAUUCAUACUGUUUAGUUCAUCCCUGACAAUAAGAAACAAAUUUCUGUAAAUUUAGCUGAAUAAAGUUGUAUUUGCCUUG
rnacentral:lncRNA from 7 species